GCCUACGGGGGGCAGCAGUGGGGGAUAUUGCACAAUGGGGAAACCCUGAUGCAGCGACGCCGCGUGUGGGAAGACGGUCCUCUGGAUUGUAAACCACUGUCCCCAGGGACGAAGAUGACGGUACCUGGGGAGGAAGCUCCGGCUAACUACGUGCCAGCAGCCGCGGUAAUACGUAGGGAGCGAGCGUUGUCCGGAAUUACUGGGUGUAAAGGGAGCGUAGGCGGGAGAGCAAGUCGACUGUGAAAUCUAUGGGCUUAACCCAUAGCUGCGAUCGAAACUGUUCAUCUUGAGGGAAGUAGAGGCAG
rnacentral:rRNA from 1 species